GGAGAGAUGGCUCAGUGGUUAAGAGCACUGGCUGCUCUUCCAGAGGACCUGGGUUCGAUUCCCAGCACCC
rnacentral:tRNA from 1 species